AUAAUCUGCAGCUGGGAGGCCUGCAGAAAGCCCUAUUUAAGCCUCAGAUGUUGGCUCCAUCUUCAGCUGUUGCAGGAACCAUGGGAGGUGUUUGGAUUCUGAUCUUCUGCACAGUGACUUUUUGGCUUAAAGGCUCUUGCUUGCCAAUUGAUCAAAAUGGAGGAAUACACUUUGAGGAACAGGGGAAUAGCAACUUCUUGCCACAAAAUAAAAUUUCUUUGAAGAAACCGCUGGAUUCACUCCAGUCAAUGGAUUCCAGGUGGACACAAACUUCUGAAAAAGGUCAACUGGAGACCAAUGAAGUGGACAAUGUGUCAAGUGACGCCGCCCACAAUGUGUCAAGUGACGCCGCCCACAAUGUGUCAAGUGACGCCGCCCACAAUGUGUCAAGUGACGCCGCCC